rnacentral:rRNA from 1 species
CAAUAGCGUAUAUUUAAGUUGUUGCAGUUAAAAAGCUCGUAGUUGGAUUUCGGGUUGGCUUCAGCGGUCUCGCUUUGCGUUUGUACUGCCGCAGCCUUCCUUCUUGCUGGGGACGGUCCUCCGGGCUUCAUUGCUUGGGGUCUGGAAUCAGCGACGUUACUUUGAGUAAAUUAGAGUGUUCAAAGCAAGCCUACGCUCUGAAUAUAAUAGCAUGGGAUAACACGACAGGACUCUGGCCUAUCGUGUUGGUCUGUAGGACCAGAGUAGUGAUUAAGAGGGACAGUCGGGGGCAUUCGUAUUCCGUUGUCAGAGGUGAAAUUCUUGGAUUUACGGAAGACGAACAUCUGCGAAAGCAUUUGCCAAGGAUGUUUUCAUUGA